GGAUAACACUUAGAAAUAGGUGCUAAUACCGCAUAAGCGCACAGCUUCGCAUGAAGGAGUGUGAAAAACUAAGGUGGUAUAUGAUGGAUCCGCGUCUGAUUAGCCAGUUGGUGAGGUAACGGCUCACCAAAGCGACGAUCCGUAGCCGGCCUGAGAGGGCGGACGGCCACAUUGGGACUGAGACACAGCCCAGACUCCUGCGGGAGGCAGCAGUGGGGGAUAUUGCACAAUGGGGGAAACCCUGAUGCAGCGACGCCGCGUGAGUGAAGAAGUAAUUCGUUACGUAAAGCUCUAUCAGCAGGGAAGAAAAUGACGGUACCUGACUAAGAAGCCCCGGCUAACUACGUGCCAGCAGCCGCGGUAAUACGUAGGGGGCAAGCGUUAUCCGGAAUUACUGGGUGUAAAGGGAGCGCAGACGGCAGUGCAAGUCUGGAGUGAAAGCCCGUGGCUUAACUACGGGACUGCUCUGGAAACUGUGCAGCUAGAGUGCAGGAGAGGCAGGCGGAAUUCCUAGUGUAGCGGUGAAAUGCGUAGAUAUUAGGAGGAACACCGGUGGCGAAGGCGGCCUGCUGGACUGUAACUGACGUUGAGGCUCGAAAGCGUGGGGAGCAAACAGGAUUAGAUACCCUGGUAGUCCACGCCGUAAACG
rnacentral:rRNA from 1 species